CCUACGGGUGACAGCAGUAGGGAAUAUUGCUCAAUGGGGGAAACCCUGAAGCAGCAACGCAGCGUGGAGGAUGAAGGUUUUCGGAUUGUAAACUCCUUUUGUUAGAGAAGAUAAUGACGGUAUCUAACGAAUAAGAACCGGCUAACUCCGGGCCAGCAGCCGCUGUAAUACGGAGGGUGCAAGCGUUACUCGGAAGCACUGGGCGGAAAGAGCUCGUAUGCGGGAUAGCAAGUCAGAUGUGAAAUCCUAUGGCUUAACCAUAGAACUGCAUUUGAAACUGUUAUUCUAGAGUAUGGGAGAGGUAGGUGGAAUUCUUGGUGUAGGGGUAAAAUCCGUAGAGAUCAAGAGGAAUACUCAUUGCGAAGGCGACCUGCUAGAACAUAACUGACGCUGAUGCGCGAAAGCGUGGGGAGCAAACAGGAUUAGAUACCCGAGUAGUC
rnacentral:rRNA from 1 species